UUCGAAAAUAGAAAAUUCACCAUGUGGGCUGGGCGUAGUUUGUUUUGAUGGGCCUCAAGACGAAAUUAGUGUUUCUGAAGGCCUACUAGUACCAGAAUAAGCCCACUUCUAGUAGCAUCCGGCUCUCUGCUGCUCUUGUCACUCCGUCCCGUCCGUCGCCGGCGAGGAGACGCCACCCCGCCGCGCGCAAGCGUUCUCCGCCGCCUCCGCCUCAUUUCAUCCGCGCGGGACCCGGAAUCACGUUCUCCUUCUCCCCACUGCUGCCCUCUCCCUCUUGGUCUCGGUCUCCGCCCCCGCGAGCCCCGCCGGCAGCCAACCCCAAGUACCACGACACGUAGGCGGACGCAGGGUACGAGGACUUGGACUGGGGCAAGCUGCUGAGGCGAUUCACGCGGGAGGUAGACGGCGCGGCGGCGGAGGCCCGCGGACGCAGGGGAGAACUGAAGAAGCUCAAGCGGAAGCCCCCCGGGACGCUGCCUGGAGGUUUCGCAUGAGGUUCCCUCCGGACGGGGCUACGAUAUUGGGAGGUCUUCAGAAGAGGAGAUCAAGAGAUGCUUAAGGAUAGCGCUCAGAAGUUGUAAGACGCUGCUCUCCUGGCGCACGAUUCCAGCUCCCGUGACUGCACUGAUGGGCGUUUGGUGGCAAGGUCACAGCAUACAGAUUUGGGCUAAGGAAGUUGAAGAAAAAAGUAAGAGAACUGGUUGGUCCUGUCAAUUUGGGCUGGGAGGAGUUUAAACCUAGCAAUUUAGUCUAUGCCUGCGCGUGAAAAAAAAACUCAGGCAAUUUUGUGGAAAGAGCCAAACAGAAGCAAACUUGAAGAGGGGGUCAAGAUGCUGAAGAAGGUGGUUGCUGACGCAUAUAUGCUGGACAGUUUGGCUAGGCGCCGUUGAGGAGACAACUGGUAGGCUAGCCUGGUGUUUUGGUCUUAGCUGCAUGCUGUCGUCACUUCCGGCGAACAAAUUUCUUUCCUGCCAGUUAUGCUUGCUUUUGUUGUAUAGCUAGGUUGGCGCUGGAACCCCGGUUCUUUUUCACUUUCGUUUCUGAACCUUGUAUUGUAUGGCUGUUGGCAGGGGUUUUAAUAGAAAUCGGUCUGGAGGUUCGCUUUUUUUCAAAAAA